UGUGUCAGACAUGUCCCUCCAUGAAGUU
rnacentral:piRNA from 1 species